UCAAGUUUCACUUUAUUUAAACUGAUAAAUGGAUUCAUAGUCAUUUAUUUAUAGUCAGGUCGUAUAUCGAUGAUCAGUACUCCGUAUUCCGUUGUAUCAUGUUUGUACUCUGUGUUUCGUUGUAUCAUAUUGUAUCGUACUCCGUGUUUGUAUUAUCAUGUUCAGUCAUGUGUCCACUCGUGCAUUUGAACUUGUUUUGUAGAUAGAAGACGUUUUCAUUGGUCAGUUAUCUUCAUGCACAAAUAACAACUUUUGGCGCGAACUAACAAUUGCAUGGCCCUCUAUUCUUCAUUCUUGAGAAUCAUUGUCCGAGUGAACGCAAGUUACUCUAGAACUAUUGUUAUACUGUAGUAAUUUAAUGUCCUUACCUUUGGACAAUUUACUAUGUCAUAAGUGUACCUUUGCUAGUCGAUUCUGGUUUUUCUCUACACGUACUAUACUGGUACUGUCCAAUAAAUUGAAGAAACCUCAAAA
rnacentral:lncRNA from 1 species